CUACGGGGUGCAGCAGUGAGGAAUAUUGCACAAUGGGGGGAACCCUGAUGCAGCAACGCCGCGUGGAGGAUGACGCAUUUCGGUGUGUAAACUCCUUUUAUAUGUCAAGGGAAUGACGGUAGCAUAUGAAUAAGCACCGGCUAACUCCGUGCCAGCAGCCGCGGUAAUACGGAGGGUGCAAGCGUUACUCGGAAUCACUGGGCGUAAAGGACGCGUAGGCGGGUUGGAAAGUCAGGUGUGAAAUCCUACAGCUUAACUGUAGAACUGCACUUGAAACUUCUAAUCUAGAGUAUGGGAGGGGGAGAUGGAAUUAGUGGUGUAGGGGUAAAAUCCGUAGAUAUCACUAGGAAUACCUAAAGCGAAGGCGAUCUCCUGGAACAUUACUGACGCUAAGGCGUGAAAGCGUGGGGAGCAAACAGGAUUAGAUACCCCAGUAGUC
rnacentral:rRNA from 1 species